AUUUGUAAUAGCAAAAAUUUGGAAUCAGGCUAAGUAAGUAUCUAUCAGUGGAUAAAUAGGUAAAAAGAAAAAGUUGUAUAUGAACACAAUGAAACGUUAUCUGGCCAUAAAAAGAAUGAAAUCAUGUCAUUUGCAGCAACAUGGAUAAAACCGGAGGUCAUUAUGUUAAAUGAAAAAAGUCAGGCACAGAAAGACAAAUAUUGUUUGUUCUCAUUCAUAUAUGGGAGCUACAAAACAAGUUUAUCUUAGA